CGGGCAGUAGCUUAGUGGUAGAUCACCCGCUUCGUAUGCAGGAAGACCUGGGUUCGAUUGCCGGCUGCUUAU
rnacentral:tRNA from 1 species